UGCUAGCAUUUGUAACUACCCUCAACUCAUUGUGGAUAAUAUCUUGAAAUUUCCAUGUUAACUUAUAGUGACUUGUGUUGUAUACAUAACUUAGUAAUUUCUCUGUUGUUUUGAUAAUUUCUUCUGACGGGUAUUGUUGGUAUCGUGAUAAAAAGUUUACAGUGAACAUAAUGUCAUAUCUGUAUUUUUGAGCGACAUAAUUUAAUAAUCCUAUUGCUCUUUGCAUAAAUUUUCUCUUUUCUUCGUGAUUUGUGAUAUUGUGGAUGGUUUUUUCUGGUAUUUCCAACUUUUUUACUAUCGGUAACUUUUUGACAUUCGUAUCAAUGUUAGUCAUCAAAUUUCUGAUCUUGUCUGGCAACUGUCUCAUGGACAUGUUCAAAUAUUCACCUAUCUCAUAGUCAAAGUUAGCACCUAGAAUAUCAUAUUUAUUGCCUUGUCCAUCGUUUAGCACUUUUACUUGAUAAAGUGUGCUUAAAAAAUCCAAAGUAUCUUCAUAUAAUUUAUUCUCGUUUGUUGUUAUGAUUAGUUCAUCAACGUAUAAACCAAUAAUUAUCAUCUUGUUUUUGACGUUCUUGAUAAAUAUGGAGGACCAGUAGUCUAGUGGUUUAAACCCAUUUUCAGUAAGUUUCGUACAUAUUUCAGCAUUCCACAAAUAACCACUUUGUCUUAAACCACCUAGACACUUAUUUAGUUUUAACACGGUAUUUUUCUUUCCAUAAAUACUUGGUGUUACAACAUAAAUAUCCUUAUCUAAAUCUGUAUUCAAGUAUGGCUCAUGGAUUUUUAAAUGAUAGAUUUUUAACUUGUUGACAAACGCCAUAUUCAUAAUUAGCAUCAGUCCAUCACGUGAUAGAUUGGAUGACCUCAAUUCUCUAUUAAAUGUCGAUUCGUCUUGUUUAUCACCUCUUGCUACGAUUUGGCACUUAUAUUCGCCAUCGUUCUUCGCAUUGAAUAAAACUAGUAAUGGCACUAUUUGUUUUUUGUUAACUUCAGUUAUGUAUAUGGCGUCUUUUUUAUCAUAAACACCAUUGUCUUCUAGAUUUUUCAAUUCUUUUCGGUAAGAAAUUAGGUAGUUAUUUUUUAUUUCCUUAUCUGUUAGUUUAUAUACCUCUUCCAAAUAUAACGUAUGCCCUUCCAAAUGUUUAACAUACGGUGGUAUUUUGUCUUUUUUUGCAGAAAUCUUUCUAUUGGAUAAUCCAUCAGAAAUGGUAGGGUCCACUGGUUUGAGUCUGCAUGCUAUUGAAAUGACUAUAUAAAUUUUUUCUAAUGUGACAUUUGCCGCACUUGCUCCUUUGAAGAAAACAAGUUUCUCAACAUUAGGGUAGUUCUUUUUCAAUGAAUCAACGAUUCUUAUCUUCAUCUCAUCUUCACUCAUUUCUUUAAAAUACACUUUGGUUCUAAGAACCAAAUCCUUCACCUUAUCAAUGUAUCUUUUAAUGCUAACAUUUCCAUCAUAAUACAAGUUUGACCACUCGUGAAUAAUAUCCUUUACUAUUGAUACAUUGUCUUCAUCAUAGACUCCAGCCUUUAUAUCAAUUAACAUUCCCAAGGCAUUACUCCCGUAAAAAUUAGGUGGAAAAUAAGCUCUGAAAAAUAGUAAGAAUCCAUUAAUUACCUCUACUAGUUCUGCACCUAAAACCGAUUCAGCAUCAUAUUGAAGCAAACAGCCCAAGCCAUUAUGUUCCAUUUGUAACGCUAAAUAUUUCAUGUGAUAAAUGAAAGUAUCUUCAGUCAUAUUCUCCAUAUCAUCAGAGAAUAAUAAAUUUUCAAAUCUAUCGAAUAUUUCUUUUUGAGAAAGAUUACCACAAUCCUCCUCAGUGCCAGUAUCAUAUUCAGAUGUAAUCAGACUUGAUGUGUUAUUAAUAUUGCGGUUAUGGAGUAUUGU